GGAAGUAAAGUCGUAACAAGGUCUCCGUUGGUGAACCAGCGGAGGGAUCAUUACCGAGUUUUCUACUCCCAAACCCCUGUGAACUUAUACCUUUACCGUUGCUUCGGCGGGUUAACGCCCCGGAAAGGCCCCCGAAAGGGAGCCGCCCCGGAACCAGGCGCCCGCCGGGGGACCCAAACUCUUGUAUUUUCUUACCUAGCAUGUCUGAGUGGAAUCAUAAACAAAUGAAUCAAAACUUUCAACAACGGAUCUCUUGGUUCUG
rnacentral:misc_RNA from 1 species